AAUAUUGGACAAUGGUGGCAACGCUGUUCCAGCCAGGCCGCGUGUGUGAAGAAGGUCUUCUGUUUGUAAAGCACUUUAAGUUGGGAGGAAGGGCGUCAAGCUAAUAUCUUGAUACUUUGACGUUACCAACAGAAUAAGCAUCGGCUAACUCUGUGCCUGCAGCCGCGGUAAUGAAGAGGGUCCCAGCGUUAAUCGGAAUUACUGGGCGUAAAGCGCGCGUAGGUGGUUCAGUAAGAUGGGUGUGAAAUCCCCGGGCUCAACCUGGGAACUGCUUUCAUAACUGCUGAGCUAGAGUACGGUAGAGGGUAGUGGAAUUUCCUGUGUAGCGGUGAAAUGCGUAGAUAUAGGAAGGAACACCAGUGGCGAAGGCGACUACCUGGACUGAUACUGACACUGAGGUGCGAAAGCGUGGGGAGCAAAC
rnacentral:rRNA from 1 species